rnacentral:rRNA from 1 species
GGGAGUGCCAACAGUAAGAGGGCAUAGGGAUUGGAGUGCUUUGGGUGGUAGCCUGAGUAGCGGACGGUACCUAACGCGGCGGUGGGACGAGGGAUGACGGCAGCAGCGAGGCAAAGGGUAGGCGGCGGUGGCAGGUGGCGUAGGUCGGAGACAGCGUAGGGUAGCAGAGGUGGCGGUGGUGCUUGGUAGAGAGAGGAACCAGCAGAGAGAACCUGGUCGUGCGCCGCCGCCUAAGAAGGCUACCGCACACCGCUGCGCAGGCCAGCUCCCUUGCCCCCACUCCGUCUGACGCAAGGCAAGUAGCUAGACAGGGGUGGAGUACAAGGAGGAGAGGUAACUUAAAGUGCAGGGGUCAAUGACGCUGUGUCCUGCGAGAGGUGAGAAACUGUUGUUACCACGGGCAGGACAACACGGAGAGGUGUGAAUGGUAGCUCCGCGUUUUUAUAAACCUCUUCUAGCGCGAGGGACAUCUUUUAAGCCGCACACAAGAUUCACCGAUGGGUCGUUCUAUUAAAAGACGAGACUUCAAGAGAGUACCUUGAACCCACCCUAACCGCUUGCACGAUCCACCUCAUGCACGGUGACCUACCGGUACAAUCACCCGUCUUAGAGGAGAGGAAGUCUGUGUUUGAACCUAAACCGUUCCUUGACCUGGGCACGGCCUACAAGUAGUCGUUGCGAUCAGUCCCCAAGUCCGAGGACACCUUGAGUACCGUAGUCAGUAUACUUGGAAGUACAUAAACUAUCAAAAGAGCUAGUGAAAAUACGGGAGUUGAUGUCGAUUCCGAUGGGGUGUUCAAGUAACUCUAAACAAAAAAUAUCCUGAACCUAAUUAUUAGAGGUUGUUAUACCAGUAACGAAGAAUAUAUAUGAAAGUCAAGAUUUAUGUAAAGUCUAAAAGAAAUAGGACAUGAUGAUUUGAUACACACGAUUUGGUUUGUACCGUAGACGCAGAAAAAUACGUACGUACAAAGUUCUGUUAUAUAGAUUAUACAUCAUAUGUCUUUCCAUGGAUUUAUAAUCGAAUAUAACGGUUGAGAACUUUUAUAUGCCAGGGACAUGUAAAAAACGGCUCUUGGACCCCUCGAACCCUGCUUCAUACCACAGUUAUUAGUCAUAUAUGGUCUUGUUAUAAAGUUGUGGCUACAGUGAACGGUGUCAUGAAGGAAGUGACGGUUAGAUCGGCGUUUGAGACAAACAGGAGCUUAGAUCGAGGUGUUUCCAACACGAAACGGUACGUAGAUUUUCAUUCCAAUGAUAGUAUUAAUUAAUCAUCUCGAAGAAGAGAUAAGUUUAACUUAAACUAUUCGUUGUUUCAGGAUACACAGUACGAAGUUAAUAUACCGAGCUCGGCCGGUUUGGACUUUACAAGCCACUUCUAAGUUUCAUGUAGAUCUAAUGAAACACAACGGGUGUUAGGAUAAUGAACUAAAAAAACUCGAUUGAUAUAGAUACCUAUUUAAACGUUCUACUACGUUUUUUUAACGAACGUCCAUCCGACACAUGUCUCUACGUACAACACUCAAGUAUUGUUAAAAUGUUAUAACUCUAAACAAAUCUACGAAGAUUCGUCACGAUAUCGUCUUGCCACGAGGUAAAGGAAUGACAACAACGAUUUAUAAACAAAACACCGUAUAAUCCUGACUUGCCGUAGUACGAUUGUUGGAGUGGGAUCCUCAGGUGAAGAAGUGCCAGUACCGUAGACGGAGGUGGUUAAUAGAUCUCAAUUCAAGGUCUCUGUUAACCCCUCCAGUUGAAACUCGACGUCGUGAGAUACACAAGUGCGUUAGCCCUGCGGGUUUUAUAGUACGGUUAUACACUAAAUACGGAAAAGACAAUCCUAAUAGAGGGAAGAGGUGCCUAUUUAACGAACUACACAAGUUACCAGGCCAAAAGGGAUUUACAAUUUGUGAUUUUUCCGGACUCACCUAAUAGAGGGAAGAGGUGCCUAUUUAACGAACUACACAAGUUACCAGGCCAACUUAACCUUUGUUCGUACGAUGUUUAGUUUAUCAAUAAACUAUUCCGUAAACUACUCGAGGACAGUAAGAUUAGAUGAAGGGUGUAAAAUGUCGACUACAAUAAAUCAUGAGACAUCACUCGGAUUCUUUAUCAUGAUACCCCUCUUCGUCCGUUGUGCAUUAUACACACAGUAAACUCUUUUUACUUUGAAGGUUGAAAGGUUGACAAGUAACGUAUAAUGUACAUUUUCUGUGAUAGAAUCUGUUUAUGUACUAAGUGGUCCAAGUUACUUUCAAUCGAAUUUAUGGUACAUAAAAAGACGUGUACCUAAUAACGGAUAACAUCUAGUAGGAGACAUGUAAACAAUCAGAUUAUCAGUUCGUCCUGUUUUUUCAAGUGAGGUCAUUACGGAAACGAGAUGUUCUAGACUGUUAACAAUUUUGUUGUUUAGUGUCUGAUUACUAAAGUAAACAAACGCCCAUAUCCGUGACAUAAAAAGUGAGAAUACGUUUUUUUUGAAAUUCAGCACUAAAAAAAAAAGUACUUUCUAGAGCUCCCACUCUGUUAAAAGUAGUAUAAGUCUCCUUAUAAUCGAACUCAUGGUAUAUCUCCCACUCUGUUCACCAUGAACUGUAUUGUACAGAGAACACAAUUAAAAGAAUAAGUCCACCGUGUGAUGCACAUCGUUUGAGUAAGUAUCAUUUCUUUACUUACCAUAGUAAAGAGUACGGUGCCUUCAUACCAGACUUCAACGGAAUGAGACUCCUGGAAGAAAGUUGUAGAUACUGGACUUAUCGUUUUAAUACCGUUGUCGUCAGUGCAGUCCGUAUUAUGUUGCGUGUCCCGGUAGUUGAUCGAGGUAUUUAGAAUUAGAGUAAAAGACACUAACAACCAAACGAUAUAUUCAGUAACUACUACUUUCUUACAUCUUUGGUGCACAACCCAUGUUAUAAAUUGGUAUGUUAAAGAAGAUCUUUGGUAGUAUUAGGUACGGAGGGGGAUGAAAAGAAUGUCGUUUGAUUAUCUAGAGUUGAUUGGUGUUCGAAUCGGACACCAUAUGACGUAUUUAUAGAUCGAAUACCUUUCGGACCAUUCACCUCGUGACCUCGCGGAAGAUUGAUCGUCUCGGGUUAAGUGACAAAACAUGUAUCUACUCUUUAAACGAACGACGGUGAGUAGAUUAUAGUUACAAAGACAAGGUACACCUUGAUUGUCAAGUGUAGAGGUCGAGAUGACGAAACAACAACAUGUGUUUUCGAAAACAUUGGUGCUACGACUAUAUGGAUACUAUCAAGUAAGAAGCGUUUGUUCUUUAAGAUGUACGACGCCUCUUGGUGUAGAUGUUGUCUAGUCCAAUGAACCACACUUGUUUAACCUACCCGGUGUUGAAUCAAACAGAGUGCACUCAAAUGUGAUAAUGUUUUUUAAUGAUGUCUACAUCUUGUUCGGUCACCCUUAAACACAGAACUGAUAGACAGUAUAAAAUAUUGAUAGUAUGAAACAUCACGAAUAAUAUUA